AUUGAACGCUGGCGGCAGGCCUAACACAUGCAAGUCGAGCGGAUGACGUGAGCUUGCUCCUUGAUUCAGCGGCGGACGGCAGAGUAAUGCCUAGGAAUCUGCCUGGUAGUGGGGGAUAACGUCCGGAAACGGGCGCUAAUACCGCAUACGUCCUGAGCGAGAAAGUGGGGGAUCUUCGGACCUCAGGCUAUCAGAUGAGCCUAGGUCGGAUUAGCUAGUUGGUGGGGUAAAGGUCUAUCAAGGCGACGAUCCGUAACUGGUCUGAGAGGAUGAUCAGUCACACUGGAGCGGAGACGAGGUCCAGACUCGUACGGGAGGCAGCAGUGAGGAAUAUUGGACAGUGGGCGAAAACCUAGUCCAGCCAAGGCGCGUGUGUGAAGAAGGUCUUCGGAUUGUAAAGCACGUUAGGUUGGGGGGAAGGGCAGUAAGUUAAUACCUAGCUGUUUUGACGGUACCAACAGAAUAAGCACCGGCUAACUUCGUG
rnacentral:rRNA from 1 species